AUAACUAUGUAGUAAUGAAAAGCUUUGGUGGUGCUAAUAUUUCUGAUAUGGAAGACUAUUUAAAACCCAUAAUUCGCAAAGAACCAGCUAAGCUAAUUUUGCAUGUGGGAACGAAUGAUUUACAUAAGUCCCUAACCACUCGUCAAAUUGCUGAGGGAAUUGUUAAUUUGGGAAUUCAAAUAAGCCAGGAUUCUCCGUCUACAAACAUAACAAUCUCAGGAAUUCUCACCCGAACCGACAAGCCUAACUUGCAAGAGAAAGCAAAUCAAGUCAAUGACCUUAUCGGAAAAUGUUGUACACAAAACAGCU
rnacentral:lncRNA from 1 species